rnacentral:rRNA from 1 species
GGGGGAACUGAAACAUCUAAGUACCCCGAGGAAAAGAAAUCAACCGAGAUUCCCCCAGUAGCGGCGAGCGAACGGGGAGGAGCCCAGAGCCUGAAUCAGUGUGUGUGUUAGUGGAAGCGUCUGGAAAGGCGCGCGAUACAGGGUGACAGCCCCGUACACAAAAAUGCACAUGCUGUGAGCUCGAUGAGUAGGGCGGGACACGUGGUAUCCUGUCUGAAUAUGGGGGGACCAUCCUCCAAGGCUAAAUACUCCUGACUGACCGAUAGUGAACCAGUACCGUGAGGGAAAGGCGAAAAGAACCCCGGCGAGGGGAGUGAAAAAGAACCUGAAACCGUGUACGUACAAGCAGUGGGAGCCUCUUUAUGGGGUGACUGCGUACCUUUUGUAUAAUGGGUCAGCGACUUAUAUUCUGUAGCAAGGUUAACCGAAUAGGGGAGCCGAAGGGAAACCGAGUCUUAACUGGGCGUUAAGUUGCAGGGUAUAGACCCGAAACCCGGUGAUCUAGCCAUGGGCAGGUUGAAGGUUGGGUAACACUAACUGGAGGACCGAACCGACUAAUGUUGAAAAAUUAGCGGAUGACUUGUGGCUGGGGGUGAAAGGCCAAUCAAACCGGGAGAUAGCUGGUUCUCCCCGAAAGCUAUUUAGGUAGCGCCUCGUGAACUCAUCUCCGGGGGUAGAGCACUGUUUCGGCAAGGGGGUCAUCCCGACUUACCAACCCGAUGCAAACUGCGAAUACCGGAGAAUGUUAUCACGGGAGACACACGGCGGGUGCUAACGUCCGUCGUGAAGAGGGAAACAACCCAGACCGCCAGCUAAGGUCCCAAAGUCAUGGUUAAGUGGGAAACGAUGUGGGAAGGCCCAGACAGCCAGGAUGUUGGCUUAGAAGCAGCCAUCAUUUAAAGAAAGCGUAAUAGCUCACUGGUCGAGUCGGCCUGCGCGGAAGAUGUAACGGGGCUAAACCAUG